rnacentral:misc_RNA from 1 species
UCACCUCUCAAGCCACCCUUCUUAAUUGAACCCGGCUUGGUGUUGGACGGUUUGGUGUCGGCAACGUCACCCCUCCCAAAGACAAUGACGGCGGCUUCAUGAGACCCCCGGUACAUUGAGUUCCUCACCGAACACGUACUGGAUCUAGGGUAGAUGAGGCCCCGGUCCAACUCCCUUUAUCGGGAGAAUCUUUUUUACAA